GAAACUCAAACUACUGUAAACCUAAACAGAUCUAAACAGGGACAGCGUUCACUUGCCGCUCACCAGGCACCUCUAUGCCCUCGCCCUGGGGCCUGGAAGGGUCAUCAGAGGUCACCAAGGGAGAAGGAGAAUGAAGGUGUGGGAUUGUGGGGUCCCUGUAAGGCUCUUUAGGACAACCCAAGCCGCUUGCUGGUGAGGACUGCUGUCCACUGGGGCAUCCAUGUUGCCUGGAAAGUGAAUGCCCACGUCUGCUGGGUUCAACGCCUCUCACCCUGGAGUGCAUAAAUUGCCAAAUUUCAUCUUUCCCCUUUGAUCUCUGUUUUCCGGAUGUUCCUCCCAACCUAUUCUGGGCCCUUCUUUUCUGUUGAUACAUUUUCCACUACAAGCAGCGCCUUGUUUCUUACAUAUUGUGACAGUGAAGGAUACAAAAAUUGAGAAUUAAGUUUACAUGUCAUAGGAUGGAGCCCAUUCCUGGAGCCCACAAGUGUUGUAAAACCUGUAUUUAUUAUAUAAAUGUUUAUGGUUAUUGUUUUUUUACAACUCAGGAAAAGCAGACACGGGGGACGAUGAGGAGUGAAGAGACUGUUCUGGAACAAAAGAGAUUUAAGAGCCGGUACAUGCCCUUAAAAUGCACUGUGUGGGCUUGUCUGAAGUCUAAUCCAAGCACAUCAAUGCCUCGCUUCUUUCUGGCGAAAUCCCUCCCCACCUUCAAGAUCAGAUCACCAGAAACCACCGUCCCUGGCAGCUGGACACAGCCACACAUGUCUUCUCAUUUGAUCCUAACAACCAUGCCCCUAGACAGAUGUUAUGACUUCAUUUUUCACAGGCAAGGAAAUAGAGGCCAGACGUAACUUACCGGACUCCACACCAACGUGGAGCCCAACGAGGAGCUGGAACUCAUGACCUUGAGAUCAAGACCUGAGCUGAGAUCAAGAGUUAGAAGCUCAACUGACUGAGCCCCCCAGGCAUCCCCCAGACUGCCAUUUAAAUGAGGAUCCCUGUUGCAACCACCUCUCACAGUGACUGUAACACAGUCUUCUACAGGCAUUACCCAAAUGGGUGUGAAGAAGCCAGGAUAGCUUCCAAAAACUUCUCCAAAGCUUCUCAACAAAAAGUACCGAGUACAUACCCAGGGUUGGACAACACUGUCAUUAGCGCCAAGACUUUUCAUUCCUGAGCCUAUGGCAGACAUCACUUACGGAUCACAGGACUCCCUCCCACCAAGCCAGAGAAAUAGCCCAUCAAUGCAGCAAUUCAAGUAGCCGCAACCAAUCGACUGGAGUGGGUGCACGCCAACAAACCUAGUCAACAUUUCACCUUAUUGCAUGCUGGGCCCCUUGCUAGGAAUUGCAGGGAUGAAUAACACAGUGUCUCUGCCCUCAAGUCAAAUAUGGAUAGGGGCAGGGAGUAGGCAAAACUGUGAACCCAUAUUUACAGCCAGGUUACGUAUAA